rnacentral:rRNA from 1 species
CGUGUAGGCGGGAUUGUAAGUCAGACGUGAAAUACCGAGGCUCAACUUCGGGGCUGCAUUUGAAACUAUAAUUCUUGAGUGUCGGAGAGGUAAGUGGAAUUCCUAGUGUAGCGGUGAAAUGCGUAGAUAUUAGGAGGAACACCAGUGGCGAAGGCGACUUACUGGACGAUAACUGACGCUGAGGCGCGAAAGCGUGGGGAGCAAACAGGAUUAGAUACCCUGGUAGUCCACGCCGUAAACGAUGGAUACUAGGUGUAGGGGGUAUCGACCCCCCCUGUGCCGGAGUUAACACAAUAAGUAUCCCACCUGGGGAGUACGGCCGCAAGGUUGAA